UUUUGCUCUAGGUGUUGAUAGGUUGGAUAAAGAUCUGAUGAUUGGCCAGAUGCAGGGGAAAUUCCAGAUGCAGGUUUUACCUCAGUGUGGCCAUGCAGUGCAUGAGGACGCCCCUGACAAGGUAGCUGAAGCUGUUGCCACU